rnacentral:rRNA from 1 species
AAUAGAUACCCAGGUAGUCCACGCCGUAAACGGUGGGCACUAGAUGUGGGGCUCUUUCCAUGAGUUCCGCGUCGCAGCUAACGCAUUAAGUGCCCCGCCUGGGGAGUACGGCCGCAAGGCUAAAACUCAAAGGAAUUGACGGGGACCCGCACAAGCGGCGGAGCAUGCGGAUUAAUUCGAUGCAACGCGAAGAACCUUACCAAGGCUUGACAUAUACGGUCUAUCCCUAGAGAUAGGGAGUGCUUCGGCGCCGUAUACAGGUGGUGCAUGGUUGUCGUCAGCUCGUGUCGUGAGAUGUUGGGUUAAGUCCCGCAACGAGCGCAACCCUCGUCCUAUGUUGCCAGCGGAUAAUGCCGGGGACUCAUGGGAGACUGCCGGGGUCAACUCGGAGGAAGUGGGGAUGAGGUCAAAUCAUCAUGCCCCUUAUGUCUUGGGCUUCACGCAUGCUACAAUGGCCGGUACAAAGGGCUGCAAUACCGCGAGGUGGAGCGAAUCCCAAAAAGCCGGUCUCAGUUCGGAUUG